GACAGAGGGUGCAAACGUUGUUCGGAAUUACUGGGCGUAAAGCGCGUGUAGGCUGCUCAGAAAGUCGGAUGUGAAAGCCCUGGGCUUAACCUAGGAAGUGCAUUCGAAACUUCUGAGCUUGAGUUCUGGAGAGGAAGGCGGAAUUCCCGGUGUAGCGGUGAAAUGCGCAGAUAUCGGGAAGAACACCCGUGGCGAAGGCGGCUCUCUGGGACGGUACUGACGCUGAGACGCGAAAGCGUGGGGAGCGAACAGG
rnacentral:rRNA from 1 species